GAUGAACGCUGGCGGCGUGCAUAACACAUUCAAGUCGAACGGAGUUAUUUGGAGCUUGCUCUAGAUAACUUAGUGGCGGACGGGUGAGUAACGCGUGAGCAGUCUGCCUCUGUGUACGGGAUAACAGUUGGAAACGACUGCUAAUACCGUAUGAAGUGUCUCUAUCGCAUGGUUAAGACACCAAAGAUUUAUUGCACAGAGAUGAGCUCGCGUCCGAUUAGGUAGUUGGUGAGGUAACGGCCCACCAAGCCGACGAUCGGUAGCCGGACUGAGAGGUUGAACGGCCACAUUGGAACUGAGAUACGGUCCAG
rnacentral:rRNA from 1 species